rnacentral:miRNA from 1 species
AAAGGUUCGUUCGGGUUUUCCU